rnacentral:rRNA from 1 species
GAUGAACGCUAGCUACAGGCUUAACACAUGCCAGUCGCGGGGCAGCAUGGGGGUUGCUUGCAACCCCUGAUGGCGACCGGCGCACGGGUGAGUAACGCGUAUCCAACCUGCCCUUCACCACGGGAUAACCCGGCGAAAGUCGGACUAAUACCGUAUGUUGUCCAUUGACGGCAUCCGAUUUGGACGAAAGGCUUGGCGGUGAAGGGAUGGGGAUGCGUCCGAUUAGCUUGACGGCGGGGUAACGGCCCACCGUGGCUACGAUCGGUAGGGGUUCUGAGAGGAAGGUCCCCCACACUGGAACUGAGACACGGUCCAGACUCCUACGGGAGGCAACAGUGAGGAAUAUUGGUCAAUGGGCGUAAGCCUGAACCAGCCAAGUAGCGUGCAGGAUGACGGCCCUAUGGGUUGUAAACUGCUUUUAUGCGGGGAUAAAGUGGCCCACGUGUGGGCUUUUGCAGGUACCGCAUGAAUAAGGACCGGCUAAUUCCGUG